AUCCUCUCUAAUAAGUUGUUCCCGUGGUGCUCCUAACUUGUUUUUGGGAUUUGAUCCGGUUAAGGAAAAAUACAAAUUGCUUCAUUUUGUUUUACUCCAUAUAGCUCAACUAGAUCAAGAUUCUAACUCUAGGAACCAACUCCAGGAGAGAAAUAGAAUUAAUCCAGGAAAUGCCUUUUCCCAGUUAUUUUGCAAGGGAUUGUCUGCUCCUCAAUGGACUACUUUUUUGGAGGAGUACUUCAUUUGACAGUAAUAUCGACUACUUUGACUUCAUAGAGGAGAAGUUUGGGUUUCUUUCACCCCCAGAAGGAAGGAGUUUUUUCCCUCCUAAUAGGCCACAAACAACAUUGUGGGGAAAGCUGGUUUGGUGUUGGUCCUACUUUGGGAAAAAAUAUAAUGUGCGCAACUCCUAUUUCAUGUCUGAUGAUGACGUUAACAAUGUUUUUAUGAAAUUUAACCUUGACGAUUCCAAUUUAAAGAAGGCUGCCUUGCUUGAAGCAGAAUCGAGUACUGACAAGCCAAAGUUUGUUUUAGCGACAGCAAGCCUUAUUAGUGCCCCAGCUACUCUGGUGUUCCCCAAUCAUUUGUCGUUAAGACAUGUUAGCAGUUUUAUUGAGAACAUUACCCCAUUAACGUCUAUUAUUGAGGUUUAACUUUGAAAAUCAAUGUGGUGAUUCUCCUUAGCACUAGUGGAUUAAAUGGAGGUAGAUAUAUGGUCUCUAUAGAUAUGUGGUUAUGGACCUCCAUGGUGGUACAUGCUAUAUCAAAUAGUCUUCCUAUCUCAUGUUUGUCAGUCUUGGACCUACUUUCCCUAUUUUUGAUUACGGAACUCUGCCUUCACUCAGCUCUAAGUUAAUGAUUUUUUUUUUUUUGGGAACCUGCAGUCACUACCCUUCGGGUGCGCACAGGGCAAACCUUAAGUUAAUGAUUACAGCUCGCUUUCUCAUGAUUGUGAUUCCAACUGGAAGUGCCAGUGCUGAGUUUGUGUUUAUAACUUCAAUACUGAAAUGGGAUCAACAAUAAAUUCUACAUCUUCGUCUGGGGACUUCUUAUGAAACAGUAUACGGUGACAGAUUAUGAUGGUUCUGCCUAUAUGGGGUUGAAGUUCAAGAAAGUUGGUCAUGCUAGUUAAGAGAAAAUGGUGUCGAUGUGUCAUCUGAUUACCCUCAAGCAGUGGGAAGCUUAGAAUGGGAGAUGAUGCAAAUUAUUAACUCAGAUCUCUUUUCUGUUCCUUAUGACUAAUAGGGCCUAAAUUUUAUGUGGGACAUGUUGCUAAUGAAUGGAUGGCUUGUUAUGAUGGCAUGCGUAUUUUGUACUGUUAUCUUCCUCAAUAUGAAUGCAUAUUAGAUCCUUGUGUUCUA